rnacentral:rRNA from 1 species
AUUGAACGCUGGCGGCAGGCCUAACACAUGCAAGUCGAGCGUGCGGCGGACGGGAGAGUAAUGUCUGGGAAACUGCCUGAUGGAGAGGGAUAACUACUGGAAACGGUAGCUAAUACCGCAUAUCAUCAGCUGUGCCCAGGUGGGAUUGGCUAGUGGGGGGGGAAACGGCUAACGUAGGCGACGCUCCCUAGCUGGUCGGAGAGUAUGACCAGCCACACUGGAACGGAGACACGGUCCAAGCUCCUACGGGAGGCGGCAGUGGUGAAUAUUGCACAAGGGGCGCAAGCCUGAUGCAGCCAUGCCGCGUGUAUGAAGAAGGCCUUCGGGUUGUAAAGUACUUUCAGCGGGGAGGCGUUACCCGCAGAAGAAGCGCCGGCUAACUCCGUGCCAGCAGCCGCGGUAAUAC